AUGGAGUUGGCUGGGUCUCUUUUGUUGAGACUUAUAAAUCAGCCGCCGGAGUUAGGACCUUUUUGCUUGCAAAGUGAUGGUGUUCCAUAUUUGGUACAUUAUCAUGUUUUGCAGGUGUCAAAGUGCACAGAGAUGACGCAUAAAGAUAGGAAAGACUAUUAUCUUAAGGAUCUAUUUUUUCAACAAUAUGAAGAUAAAAGUAUGGAUCCAUCACGUUUGAGCGACAUAACAGAUAAUUUCUCCAAGAAGGCAGAGAUUGGUAGUGGUGGAUUCGGAGUGGUUUACAAGGGAGUGCUUCGAGAUGGUUUUGUUGCUGUCAAGAAAUUCAAAGAGGCAAUUGACGACAAAGCAUUUGUGGAUGAGGUCAACUGUCUCACAAAGAUUGAGCACCCUAAUAUAGUAAAAUAUAUUGGUUAUUGUGCUGGAUCAGAAAAACACAUUGCAAUGAAUGAGGGGAAGACCAUUUUAGCAGAAUCGCCAUAUCAGUUAAUUUGCUUCGAGUAUCUUCGCAAAGGAAGCCUUGACAUGCACCUUAAUGACAAACCAUGUGGACUUCCAUGGCAAGUGUGCUACAAAAUCAUCCAAGGAAUUUGUCUAGGUUUGCACCAUCUUCAUGAGCACAGAAUCAUUCAUAGAGAUAUCAAAGCAGGCAAUAUUCUACUUGAUGAUCACAUGACUCCGAAAAUUGCGGACUUUGGUUUGUCAAGGUUCUUAGGGGAUGCUAAAAGCAGAAUUAACACUCGCCAAGAUGGAACACUGGGAUACAUGGCACCUGAAAGUAUGUUCAAUGGAGUAUUUACUUUCAAGUCCGAUAUAUACAGUCUGGGCAUGAUAAUCAGAAAGAUUGUGACUGGUAACAGUGCAAUAUCAAAGGAAGAGACCUUAUACGUGUGGGGUCAUAGGUCAAACCUAGAUGCAUCACAGAGGCCCACUCCGUUGGAUCAAGUAGAAGAAUGCAUCGAUAUAUCAAUAAGCUGCAUAGACAUAGCUAAAGCAGCAGAGAACAGACCUGAUAUGCGGGAUAUCCUCCGUAGGCUUGGUAUAAUAGGAACUAGUGGCUGCUCUGCCGCAGGUGGCAUAAACACUUCUCCGGCACCGUCAUCAUCGACGAGAAAGGGGCCGAAGGUCGAAACCGAGCCAUCAAUGGCAGCAUCAGCUAAGAGGCCAGGAGAGGCAAGCCCUGAAAAGUUGGAGGUAACAAUUGACGCCAGGCCCAAGAUGGUUCCAUCGAGAUCGUUGCAAAUUGCGAAUAACCGACCAAGGUUCUGGAGAUGGCUUGCCAUCACAGAUUCUAGGUUUGGCGAGUGUGUGGAGCUCUUGAGUGUAUACUUCCUACAAGUUACCGGAGAGAUCCCACCAAGGGAGCUAUCUGCCGGCACAUCCUACGAUGUUCACCUCGUAUACAAGUUGGCGACUAAAACCAUUGGCCUAAGAGGUUCCAUACAGACAUCAUCAAUGAGGCUCCAUGGGAAGCAGGUCAUUACCACCAACAAGGUUUGCCUCGAACCCAAAGCGCACGGAAUGGCGGAUGAUGUGAUGUGCCCUAUCAAGAGGGGUGAUGGUUGGUUGGAGCUCAGGCUGGCAGAGUUUGUAAACGAUGACAAUAUGCUUACAGAGGAGGGGGUGAUCGUGGUUCUCCGCGAGGAGGACACCACUAUUCAGAAGAGCGGCCUCAUCGUGGCGGGCAUGGAGUUCAGAAGCAAAUAG
rnacentral:rRNA from 1 species